AGAACGAACGCUGGCGGCAUGCCUAACACAUGCAAGUCGAACGAGACCUUCGGGUCUAGUGGCGCACGGGUGCGUAACGCGUGGGAACCUGCCUUUAGGUUCGGGAUAACAGUUAGAAAUGACUGCUAAUACCGGAUGAUGUCUUCGGACCAAAGAUUUAUCGCCUUUAGAUGGGCCCGCGUUGGAUUAGCUAGUUGGUGGGGUAAAGGCCUACCAAGGCGACGAUCCAUAGCUGGUCUGAGAGGAUGAUCAGCCACACUGGGACUGAGACACGGCCCAGACUCCUACGGGAGGCAGCAGUGGGGAAUAUUGGACAAUGGGCGAAAGCCUGAUCCAGCAAUGCCGCGUGAGUGAUGAAGGCCUUAGGGUUGUAAAGCUCUUUACCGGGAUGAUAAUGACAGUACCGGGAGAAUAAGCUCGGCUAACUCCGUGCCAGCAGCCGC
rnacentral:rRNA from 1 species